rnacentral:lncRNA from 1 species
GCAAGACAUGAAGGAUGAACAGGUGCUACCAGGUGAAUUAGUGGAGAAUGGCAGGAAGGACAUGCAGAAAAACUUUCCAGGGAGAGGAACUGCGCUGACUUGAGAGGUCUGAGCAUCACGACUGAUUGGCGGGGAGUUCUGCACAGCCUGAGCACACCCAGCAUCUGUGCAGAGAUGGUACAAGGACAGAAUGAUGCAGGGAAACCUCUUAGGUGACCAAACCGUGACUGAAGCAUUCUUCCAUGGGUGCUGGGGACCAUUCCAGCCUUUUGAUUUCCCAUAAUACAUAUGGAUCCUGAGACCUUACCAGAGGUUUUGUCCCUAUUCUACCAAAUUUGAGGAUGAAUAAAUGCUUCAGGUCAGUAAACAAUGUCUCCACACAGUAUCCUUUGUGAAAUAGCUGGAAAUCAACAGUCUGCAUUUAAAAACAAACUCAUUCUCCACUUGACUAAAGGUGAAGUGGAGGAGGAAGGAUCUUAAAAG